UACGGGGGGGCAAGCGUUGUUCGGAAUUACUGGGCGUAAAGGGCUCGUAGGCGGCCAACUAAGUCGGAUGUGAAAUCCCCAAGCUUAACUUGGGAACUGCAUCCGAUACUGGAUGGCUUGAAUCCGGGAGAGGGAUGCAGAAUUCCAGGUGUAGCGGUGAAAUGCGUAGAUAUCUGGAGGAAUACCGGUGGCGAAGGCGGCAUCCUGGACCGACAUUGACGCUGAGGAGCGAAAGCUAGGGGAGCAAACGGG
rnacentral:rRNA from 1 species